CAUUAGAUUGUGAGUCUAAAGCUAGAGUUUUAAUUACCUCUUAUUUACC
rnacentral:tRNA from 1 species